UUAAUUUAAUAUAAAGGUUCUCUGCCACCCUCUCGUUCGAGGAUGAGGCUGUGAGUGCCGAUGAUUUCUCCGGCACCCAACACCCGCCGUCGCCAUCCAUUAUAUUCCACCAUCACCACCCUCACUGCUGCUGCUGCUAACACUACUACUACUACUAGCUAGCUAUAUAUCUAUCUAUCUAUGAUCUAUCUCUGUCUGUCUCUGUUUCCAUGGAAUUAAUCAUAUAUACUACUUCUUCUUCUGCUUCUUCUUCUUACUUCUUCUGGGAACAUAGGCUGUGAUGAUACGUCCGGAGAGUUUUUACUCGGACGGCGAUUUUUGAGGUGGAGGGUCCCAGUUCACUCGGUCUGGCUGUUGGGCGUGGCGAUCGAGGCAGCACUAGCUAGCUGCUCCGAUUUCGCAGCCAUCAACUGCCGGUGAUCAUGCGGGCUUGCUACCUUGGACCACCGCCGUCUGAUUAACAAAUGGCAGAUCUGAGCCUUACGCAAUUAUUCACAUUUUCAGUUUUUAUCACGGGCUGAUUUCUUCACAACUCUUUAAUUCAUUAACAUGUCCGAAUGAAUAGGUGGACAAAAAAGCAGGCUCAUGUAUGUAAUCUUAACCAGUUUGAUUGU
rnacentral:lncRNA from 1 species